CACUAUCGUUAACUGAAUACAUAGGUUAACGAGGCGAACCGGGGGAACUGAAACAUCUAAGUACCCCGAGGAAAAGAAAUCAACCGAGAUUCCCCCAGUAGCGGCGAGCGAACGGGGAGCAGCCCAGAGUCUGAAUCAGCUUGUGUGUUAGUGGAACGGUCUGGAAAGUCCGACGGUACAGGGUGAUAGUCCCGUACACCAAAAUGCACAGGCUGUGAACUCGAAGAGUAGGGCGGGACACGUGGUAUCCUGUCUGAAUAUGGGGGGACCAUCCUCCAAGGCUAAAUACUCCUGACUGACCGAUAGUGAACCAGUACCGUGAGGGAAAGGCGAAAAGAACCCCGGCGAGGGGAGUGAAAAAGAACCUGAAACCGUGUACGUACAAGCAGUGGGAGCACCUUCGGGUGUGACUGCGUACCUUUUGUAUAAUGGGUCAGCGACUUAUAUUCUGUAGCAAGGUUAACCGUAUAGGGGAGCCGCAGGGAAACCGAGUCUUAACUGGGCGUUAAGUUGCAGGGUAUAGACCCGAAACCCGGUGAUCUAGCCAUGGGCAGGUUGAAGGUUGGGUAACACUAACUGGAGGACCGAACCGACUAAUGUUGAAAAAUUAGCGGAUGACUUGUGGCUGGGGGUGAAAGGCCAAUCAAACCGGGAGAUAGCUGGUUCUCCCCGAAAGCUAUUUAGGUAGCGCCUCGUGAACUCAUCUUCGGGGGUAGAGCACUGUUUCGGCUAGGGGGUCAUCCCGACUUACCAACCCGAUGCAAACUACGAAUACCGAAGAAUGUUAUCACGGGAGACACACGGCGGGUGCUAACGUCCGUCGUGAAGAGGGAAACAACCCAGACCGCCAGCUAAGGUCCCAAAGUCAUGGUUAAGUGGGAAACGAUGUGGGAAGGCACAGACAGCCAGGAUGUUGGCUUAGAAGCAGCCAUCAUUUAAAGAAAGCGUAAUAGCUCACUGGUCGAGUCGGCCUGCGCGGAAGAUGUAACGGGGCUAAACCAUGCACCGAAGCUGCGGCAGCGACACUAUGUGUUGUUGGGUAGGGGAGCGUUCUGUAAGCCUGCGAAGGUGUGCUGUGAGGCAUGCUGGAGGUAUCAGAAGUGCGAAUGCUGACAUAAGUAACGAUAAAGCGGGUGAAAAGCCCGCUCGCCGGAAGACCAAGGGUUCCUGUCCAACGUUAAUCGGGGCAGGGUGAGUCGACCCCUAAGGCGAGGCCGAAAGGCGUAGUCGAUGGGAAACAGGUUAAUAUUCCUGUACUUGGUGUUACUGCGAAGGGGGGACGGAGAAGGCUAUGUUAGCCGGGCGACGGUUGUCCCGGUUUAAGCAUGUAGGCUGAUUGUCCAGGCAAAUCCGGAUAAUCAAGGCUGAGGUGUGAUGACGAGGCACUACGGUGCUGAAGUAACAAAUGCCCUGCUUCCAGGAAAAGCCUCUAAGCAUCAGGUAACAUCAAAUCGUACCCCAAACCGACACAGGUGGUCAGGUAGAGAAUACCAAGGCGCUUGAGAGAACUCGGGUGAAGGAACUAGGCAAAAUGGUGCCGUAACUUCGGGAGAAGGCACGCUGGUGUGUAGGUGAAGUCCCUGCGGAUGGAGCUGAGACCAGUCGAAGAUACCAGCUGGCUGCAACUGUUUAUUAAAAACACAGCACUGUGCAAACACGAAAGUGGACGUAUACGGUGUGACGCCUGCCCGGUGCCGGAAGGUUAAUUGAUGGGGUUAUCCGUAAGGAGAAGCUCUUGAUCGAAGCCCCGGUAAACGGCGGCCGUAACUAUAACGGUCCUAAGGUAGCGAAAUUCCUUGUCGGGUAAGUUCCGACCUGCACGAAUGGCGUAAUGAUGGCCAGGCUGUCUCCACCCGAGACUCAGUGAAAUUGAACUCGCUGUGAAGAUGCAGUGUACCCGCGGCAAGACGGAAAGACCCCGUGAACCUUUACUAUAGCUUGACACUGAACAUUGAGCCUUGAUGUGUAGGAUAGGUGGGAGGCUUUGAAGCGUGGACGCCAGUCUGCGUGGAGCCAACCUUGAAAUACCACCCUUUAAUGUUUGAUGUUCUAACGUUGGCCCCUUACCGGGGUUGCGGACAGUGUCUGGUGGGUAGUUUGACUGGGGCGGUCUCCUCCCAAAGCGUAACGGAGGAGCACGAAGGUUAGCUAAUCCUGGUCGGACAUCAGGAGGUUAGUGCAAUGGCAUAAGCUAGCUUGACUGCGAGCGUGACGGCGCGAGCAGGUGCGAAAGCAGGUCAUAGUGAUCCGGUGGUUCUGAAUGGAAGGGCCAUCGCUCAACGGAUAAAAGGUACUCCGGGGAUAACAGGCUGAUACCGCCCAAGAGUUCAUAUCGACGGCGGUGUUUGGCACCUCGAUGUCGGCUCAUCACAUCCUGGGGCUGAAGUAGGUCCCAAGGGUAUGGCUGUUCGCCAUUUAAAGUGGUACGCGAGCUGGGUUUAGAACGUCGUGAGACAGUUCGGUCCCUAUCUGCCGUGGGCGCUGGAGAAUUGAGGGGGGCUGCUCCUAGUACGAGAGGACCGGAGUGGACGCAUCACUGGUGUUCGGGUUGUCAUGCCAAUGGCACUGCCCGGUAGCUAAAUGCGGAAGAGAUAAGUGCUGAAAGCAUCUAAGCACGAAACUUGCCCCGAGAUGAGUUCUCCCUGAGACUUUAAGUCUCCUGAAGGAACGUU
rnacentral:rRNA from 1 species